UGGCAUUGCAGUGGCCAGCUCCUGUGGGAUGCUCAGAGCCCCUCCAUUAUGGAGCGAAGGUCCUGCAGUCCAGCCCUGAGGGGCUCCAGGACCCAAAUGGCAGCCUCAGAGAUCAGUGGUCAUGCAGACAUGACUGGGACUUACAUGACUGACUCAUUCUCAGAUCUUCCCACUUGGACAGAACCACACCAGUAAAUUUCCUGAGUCUUCAACUUGCAGAUGGCAGAUUGUGCUCAAUCAGAAGCACACGCUGCAAGGACUCUGCUAUCAAUUCCUCCUGGUAUGAACCUUCUUGCUUGCAUUCAGGCUUCCUCCCAUUGGUACCCCAAAGGUCCUUGGACUCUGCCUGGAGAAUGUCAAGCAGGAGCAGGUGGGGAUCUUUCUAGAGAUCCCAACUGCAGAGAAUUACCAGCUCCACCUGCUUCCAAAAGGACACUGACUUCAGGGACGGUCACCACAUGGAGACACUGAGAGCUUUUAGACUGAAACAAAAACAUGGAUUGACAAUGAAGAUCUCAUUGCUUAUCCAAUACUCUUGGAAUAAAUCAAGUGGGAGUGCCUAGAAAAGACAGUCGAGUGUAAGGUAAAUGGUCAUGGUGCAGGGGUGACUCUGAGUCCUUCGUUAGAGAGCCAAGAGUUCUUUCCACUAUGAACUUUUGGACUCUCUGCUGCUCUGCUUCUGCACUAUGUUGGCUCAUACAUCCCUCUUCUUUUCUCCUUGGCAUCAUUGAUGGAUUUUAUGAAUGUUUCCAAA